AUGAUGAGUCUCUUUAAUUCAAUGGAAGGCGAUGGUAUUGUAGCCAACUCUUAUGUUUUCAACAUAUUAAUUAAUGCAUAUGCUAAAGGAGGAAUGAUGGAUGAAGCUAUGCUCAUACUUACUGAAAUGCGGGGACAAGGACUGAGUCCGGAUGUAUUCACCUAUUCAACUCUGGUAUCUGCAUUUUGCAGAAUGGGUAGGCUAGCUGAUGCUAUGGAUAAGUUCAGUCAGAUGAUUGGUACGGGAGUACAACCAAACACAGUUGUUUAUCAUUCCCUAGUUCAGGGCUUAUGUACACAUGGUGAUUUGGUGAAAGCAAAGGAGUUGAUUUCUGAAAUGAUGAAUAAAGGUAUGAUUCGUCCAAACAUUGCAUUCUUCAAUUCAAUAAUGGACAGUCUAUGCAAUGAAGGAAGGGUUGUGGAUGCACACCAUAUCUUUGACUUGGUUACAGACAUAGGUGAGAAACCUGAUGUCAUUACAUUUAGUACGCUAAUUGACGGAUAUUGCUUAGUCGGUGAGAUGGAGAAAGCAUGCCGAGUAUUUGAUGCCAUGGUAUCAGCUGGCAUUGAGCCUGAUGUCAUUACGUAUAGUACACUUGUCAGUGGGUAUUGUAAAAGUGGAAGGAUCGAUGAUGGGUUGAUUCUGUUCAGAGAAAUGUUGCAUAAGGAAGUUAAACCUACAACUGUUACAUAUGGCACCGUACUGGAUGGGUUAUUUCGUGCUUGGAGAUCUGCUGCUGCAAAGAAAGUGUUCCAUGAGAUGAUCGAAAGUGGAAUAAUGGUGAGCAUUUCUAUAUAUAAUAUAAUUCUUGGAGGACUUUGUAGAAAUAAUUGCGCAGAUGAAGCGAUCGUCCUAUUCCAGAAAUUGUGUGCAAUGAAUGUGAAGUUCAAUAUCACAACACUCAAUAUCAUGCUUAAUGCAUUCUACAAGGUUCAAAGAAGAGAUGAAGCUAGUGAUUUGUUCGCUGCAUUACCAGCCAGUGGGUUGGUGCCUAAUGCUUCUACUUAUGGAGUAAUGAUUCAAAAUCUUCUAAAAGAAGGAGCGGUGGAAGAAGCUGACAGUAUGUUCUCAUCAAUGGAGAAGAGUGGUUGUGCUCCUAGCUCUCGUUUUUCAAAUUGUAUCAUCAGAACGUUAUUGGAACAGGGGGAGAUAGUCAAGGCUGGGAAAUAUAUGUCUAAAGUUGAUGGGAAGACUUUUUUGCUUGAAGCUUCAACUACUUCAUUGCUGAUGUCCCUCUUUUCAAGGGGAGGCAAAUAUCAGGAGCACAUACUCUUGCUCCCUGCAAAGUAUCAAUUUUUCAGUGGAGUGAACCACAGUUGA
rnacentral:rRNA from 1 species